CUAGCUAUGGAUAACCCUUGAAAUUUCGUGCUAAUUAAGAAGAUGAUGAAUUUUGUGUUAUUUUUCCCUUUUUAUUUCAUUUAAUAUCCAAAUGACCAAAAUCCCUUCCUUAUUAAACUUUAAAAAAUUCCAUCCAUGUCCUAUUUUGUCUAUGAACUUAGAAAUUGGUCAAAUUGUUAUUUAAACCCUCCUAAUUAAUAUUCCAAAGCAAUUUCAUACUAAAAACUUCUAGAAUGCAAGUUUUGCAAAUUAUUCGAUUUAGUCCCUAAUCUCAACUUAAGCACUUUAUGCAUAGAAUUUCAACACGAAAUUUUCACACAAUCAUGCAUUCAUAUCAUGAACCUCAAAAUAAUAAUAAAAUAAAUUUUU
rnacentral:lncRNA from 1 species